CAGAGAUGGACUCAUCUGCCAUCAUUGAAUGGAUGGUUGUCGUUUGGACUGCGCACGCAUGUUCCGAACAAGAUAUUGCGCAGAUGGAGGCUCCAAGCGGGUUCACUAGCUAGGCCAGUGGUGUCUGAGGCUGGACCCAGUAAUGCCCUGCCUCCUUCUCUGGACAUUGAGGGAGUACCUCAUCGGGUGUACCUCAUCGACUGGGAGGGGUAUGGCCCAGAGGAGUGGUGCUGGGUUCCUGUAGUGGACAUCCUGAAUGCUUCACUGACCAGGGAUUUUCACUGUCGGCGCCCUGACCGACCCACACCGCGUCCAUGUGGUCGCCCCCCGAGGCCGGUGUCAUCCCGCUGCUGGUGCAGUGCGUCGGGGGAGAGGGAUACUGUCACGGAUCAACCCCCAGUACUGCUGCUCAUUUCGUUCACCAGCUCGGGGGUCUACGUCACCAGCCUUCUAGACGUCACUGAACUGGAUUCAUUACUGCCAACCCCGGACUGUCUUGUCUCAUUACGCACACCUGGUUCCCAUUUCCCCUGAUUAGUAUGUUAUAUAUGUGCCCUCUGUUCCCCAUUGUCCUUGUCGGUUAUUGUUACCAUGUCCCUUGGUCCUGUGAGUACCUGUGCUGUUGUUUCAACUUCCAUUAUACGUGUUAUUGUGCACUUGUUUUACGGGUCUCGUAGAAGCUCUUUUGUUUGGGUGGAGAGAAUAAACCCCCUAUUACGCAUUCCUGCACCUGUCUCCAAUCAUUAGACAACGUGAAAGGUUGUGAAUGCUUUAUGAGCUACAUUAUAAAACGUUACAUAUUGUGAUGAGUUGUUCGCAAAUGAACAGCUCUUUUUGAACAGAUCUUUUUGAUGAACUGGAACCAUAUUGUAUCUGUGAAUGAGGCGUUCAUUUGACUCCCUGCUACUACUGCUUUAUGAGCUCCAGACAACCAUUCUCUGAAGCUAUUCAUUCCUCACUGCAGGAACAGUAGGUAGUGAGGAGAGAGCCAAGCAAUCUAAUUUCGUCAUUUAAAAUGUAUUUGAACUCACAUUUCACUAUCUGCAUAAUGGUAGGGAACAUUUUAGGCUUUAAAUUAUAAAUAUAUUUUUUAUGUUUCACACAUUUUUUUAUGCACUACUAAAUAAAGAGCCGUUUGGGAGCCAAAUGAAUGGCUCAUUUAGGUGAACGGCACCAAAGAUCUGGCUUCCCGAAAAAUACUCAUCACAUACCCUAACACAGUGAUCGGAUACUCCUGGUUUACAGGCCACAUCAAGCCUGCAAGUCACAUAAUUGCUGGCUUGCAAAGUUGUGUAAUUCCUAUUAGAACCUAGCCAGAGUGAAGAUAUCCAGACUAAUAGAUUGGAUUAGUUUAGAAAAAGGCCUUUUGUCUUUGUGUAGCAUAAGCUUAAUCAACCAAACAAUAUGAAUGCAAAAACACAGGUAUUAAAACAAACAAUUCUGAAAAUCAUCCUGCAAUAAAGCAUGCUGGGAAAUAUGUUAAUGAUGGGCAUGGUUUUGAGCAAACUAGAAUCUAGUGUUGAGAACUAGAAAUCCUAUGGCAGCUGGUUGCCUUGAUAUUUUAAUUUGAAUCAACUUCAAUGCUAUUUUGAAGUUCACUCAACCCAGAGAAUAACGCUGAUUAAGCAACUAGUUAAGUUAAAGUACACGCAUGCGCACACACACACACACCCCUUGCUGAUCUUUCUUUUUUGUCCUUCUCAGUGCCCAUGAUAAAUUUGAUGCCACCUUUAAGAGCUAUGUGCUGGUCAACUCCAGUGGAUUCUGUGAGUACCUACCUCCAGGUAAGUCUAUAGAUCAACCUUCCUCUCUUUUUAUUCUUCCCUGACCUUCCCCUCUCAUUUUAGUUUAACAUAGAUAUAGGGGAGAGUGGGGUAAGUUGAGCCACGCUGGUUUCUAAUAAAUCAUACACAACAUUUAUAAUUUGAUCAAAAUUAUAAAUGGGAGGAAGUCUGGGAAGGAAGUACCUACAUGUUUCAGAGUUUACUAGGAGUGGUGGGUUGGAGUCAGGCGCAGAGAGCAGAGGGUUUGGUAAAUCAUAAUUUAUUCUCGGGCACAAAACGGUCACGCCAAAAUACAGGGCGCAUAAAACAGGCCAGCCCAAACACAGGACCAAACAGUCCAGAGAAAACAAACAUAAAACAGACCAGCCCAAACACAAGACCAAACAGUCCAGAGAAACAAACAUAAAACAGACCAGCCCAAACACAAGACCAAACA
rnacentral:lncRNA from 1 species